CUACAGGGAUGCCCCAAGAGUUACAUACCUUCCCUGUUAGUCACACACUCUUUGGAGAAUAACACCUUGAAAAAGGCAAGGCCUCUCCUUCCCUCAUUUCAAAGGUUUUCCCAACAUUUCCAACUAGGAACAUCAAAUUGGAAUUCUGGCUAGGUGAUGAGUCACCUCUAGGACCCUUGGGAAUGCAGCAGUCACCACACACAGAUGCUGUCUGACAGGAUCCAUUGCUGCCUCAACACAGAGCAAACUCCUCUUGAGGCAGACUAGGCCAACUGUCUCUCGAAGGGUCAUCCUGUCUAAGGCUCACUUCAAAGAUCCUCAGUGAUGAAACACAGAUUAUCCUGACACAUUCCAUGGGAAGAAUCUAUCCUAUUUUUUAAGUACUUGUAAAUCAAAACAUUAAAGCUUUCAGAUCAAGAGAUGUGCCUUUGUUAUAAUUAAUAUUUCUAUAGAGCAGUGAUAUAUGUGAAAGUGUUAUGAAUUUAUGGCAUUCAAUGUUUUCAAGGAAGAUAUCCAACAACAUAUCAUCAGCACCAAACUUCAAUUUUUCUUCAAAAGCAUGUGGCACAGUACCAGAUCCUGAAGUUACAAAGACAAGUAAAGAAAAAAUUCUGAUCAUCGUGAUCUCAAAGUGUAGUGAAAGAGAUAGACAAGGACCAUUUUAUAGCUCAUUAGCACCUCUCCAAGAAAGCUGGCAGGAAACAGUGGAGAUGGGAUUUACAUCAUUCAAUACAUUUGUAUUUUUUGGAUUCAUAGAAGAUUUUUGAAGGAAAGAGCUCUGAAAUAAGUGUAAGAUGAGGUUUGAAGGACUCCAGGCACUAUAACAGCAUAUCCAGUCCUUAUCCUGCAGUAAGUAUAAGUGCAUUGAUUUGACUGCCUUUAUUGUAUGCACUGUUAUUGGAUCCUCCAAGCAAAUUCCACAAUGCUGCAGGAUAUAUCAGGGCUUCUAAUACAUAGUUGCCCCUCCAAACCCACAGAUUCUACAUCUGUAGGUUUCACCAACCAAGGAUUGAAAAUGG